CCCGACUCCUACGGGAGGCAGCAGUAAGGAAUAUUGGUCAAUGGGCGCAGGCCUGAACCAGCCAUGCCGCGUGGAGGACGAAGGCCCUCCGGGUCGUAAACUCCUUUUACCCGGGACGAAAAAAGCCCUUUUGAGGGCACUUGACGGUACCGGGGGAAUAAGCACCGGCUAACUCCGUGCCAGCAGCCGCGGUAAUACGGAGGGUGCGAGCGUUAUCCGGAUUCACUGGGUUUAAAGGGUGCGCAGGCGGGCUUUUAAGUCAGCGGUGAAACCCGCGGGCUCAACCCGCGGACUGCCGAUGAUACUAGGGGCCUUGGAUGUCGCUGAGGGCAGCGGAAUGGGGCAUGUAGCGGUGAAAUGCAUAGAUAUGCCCCGGAACACCGAUUGCGGAGGCAGCUGCCUAAAGGACGAUCGACGCUGAGGCACGAAAGCGUGGGUAGCGAACAGGAUUAGAUACCCUGGUAGUCCACGCCCUAAACGAUGAUUACUCGACGUCCGCGGCAUACUG
rnacentral:rRNA from 1 species